UACGUAGGGCGCAAGCGUUGUCCGGAAUUAUUGGGCGUAAAGAGCUCGUAGGCGGCUUGUCACGUCGGGUGUGAAAGCCCGGGGCUUAACCCCGGGUCUGCAUUCGAUACGGGCUAGCUAGAGUGUGGUAGGGGAGACUGGAAUUCCUGGUGUAGCGGUGAAAUGCGCAGAUAUCAGGAGGAACACCGGUGGCGAAGGCGGGUCUCUGGGCCGGUACCGACGCUGAGGAGCGAAAGCGUGGGGAGCGAACAGG
rnacentral:rRNA from 1 species